UAACCUUCGGGAGGGCGUUUACCACGGUGUGGUUCAUGACUGGGGUGAAGUCGUAACAAGGUAGCCCUAGGGGAACCAGGGGCUGGAUCACCUCCUUACAAAAAAGA
rnacentral:rRNA from 1 species